AGACCAUCUAGACUUUUUUCCACAAAAAUGAAACCAAAUUAAAUUAGUAUGCUUUCAGAUUAACAUCCUAGUUGUGUACGGUACUUCUAACAUCUCAAAUUGCACACAGGAUGUUUUCUACGAGUGCAUGUGUAAUAUGCUGCUCUUUGGUUUCAAAUACAAUGUAUUUUCAUUAUGUUACCUUAUGAUACUGUAAAAGCUGUUCAGAGUCAUGUCAGAACUCCUUAACCCUAGAUAUCUAUGCAGUACUUUGCCUGAAUGAAAUGAGACUAGUACCUCAGUGAUGCUGUUCUCUGCCUGUGCAGUAUGCAGGGAGCAUUUUUGCUUUUCGAAACGCUUUCUCUAUGAAGAUGCUCUGCAGAAGAAAACCACCUGUGAAGCACUGUUAAAAUAGACUGAGACAUGCUGAUAAAAUUUAUCAUCAGAGGGUUAUGGACUUAAUUUCCAAGGUCAGAAAUAGUGCAUGAUAGUCUGUGCUUCCCUUGACUGGAACAGAAACUGAGAUGUGCUUUUGCCGUCUCCAGUCUGAUUAUAUCACAAGCCUGGAAUUGCCCGUAAAUGCUGCUUCUGUCUUUGGUAGGAUCAGUAAAGGUUAGUAAAGGGGAAAAUGCAUUAUGCUUAUGACAGGUAAUAGAAGAAUGAGAC
rnacentral:lncRNA from 1 species